UCCAGCUCCAAUAGCGUAUAUUAAAGUUGUUGCGGUUAAAAAGCUCGUAGUUGGAUUUCUGCUGAGGAUGACCGGUCCGCCACUGGGUGUGUAUCUGGCUCAGCCUUGGCAUCUUCCUGAAGAACGUAGCUGCACUUGACUGUGUGGUGCGGUAUUUAGGACAUUACUUUGAGGAAAUUAGAGUGUUUCAAGCAAGCGUA
rnacentral:rRNA from 1 species